UACGAGGGGGGCGAGCGUUGUUCGGAACUAUUGGGCGUAAAGGGUGCGUAGGCGGUGCGGUAAGUCUGUUGUGAAAUCUCCGGGCUCAACUCGGAGUCUGCAACGGAAACUGCCGUGCUGGAGUGUGGGAGAGGUGAGUGGAAUUCCCGGUGUAGCGGUGAAGUGCGUAGAUAUCGGGAGGAACACCUGUGGCGAAAGCGGCUCACUGGACCACAACUGACGCUGAUGCACGAAAGCUAGGGGAGCAAACAGG
rnacentral:rRNA from 1 species